AGUGCUCUUAACCACUGAGCCAUCUCUCCAGCCCAAAGGUAUUAUUUAAUUUUCAACAGACCCAUGAGAGAAGUAGAAGUUCCGUAGCCCAUUUUAUAGACAACCCAGAACAAAGGUGCUGUCAACAUAUCCAAGGUCACAUAGAUCACAUGUGGGAGACUUAGGAAUGAAGUAGGUCAACCCCAAGGCUGUUUGUUGAACUACUGUGCAUGACAGAUAGUGAGUGCCUUUUCAAUAAUUGUUGAGAGAUUAAGUGAAUGAACCCAUGAGCAGAAUCAAAUUUAAACAAAAUACAGAGUUUGGACAAGGUGAAUUAGAGAGGUAGUUCAAAAAAGACUUCAGGCUAAUUAUCUGUGACCUGAACUAAACAAGUUAUUUCCUUGGUUUCACUGUCUCAUUGAAAAAAAAAAGUUAGGAUUAUUUUGGAUGCCACCAAGGAUGAGAUGAAGUAUAUGUGGAGAGGAGACUACAUGCAGUGUGAUUUGUGGGGGCCUCUCACAGAGUCUGCAGCAUAUUGAAUACUUACCAGGACGUAUGAAUGAGAAGUCUCACAGUGGUUUGUUGGGUCCAUGUCAUCUUGGUUGUUGUCCUUGUCAUCAUCAGGAGCAUCGGGUGCCAGCCUCCCAAGCUGCCAUCGGUUUCACCCAGGCUUCUCCUUCAUCCAUCGGAGGUGGGGAGAACUGGGUAUCCUGCACAAUCUCAUGUGGGGCUCCCAUCUGGUAGAGUGGUGCCAUUGGGAGCUGGGGGUCAGAAGGACGCGUGAAUGAGAAGUCUCGCAGUGGUUUGUUGGGUCCAUGUCGUCGUUUUUGUCGUCCUCAUCGUCGUCAGUAGUGUUGGGUGCCAGCAUCGCAAGCCUCCAACAGUUUCACCCAGGUGAGUGUCGG